UUCACCUCUCCAAUUAUUUGUGCCCUGAAGAUCCAAAAGUGAAAUUUGACCAUGGGAACAAAAAGGGUAUAGCUGAUGGAAUGGCCUGGAGAAUCAGAAUAUUAUUUCAUCUAGUGAUUGGGAGUCGAAUGAACUACAGGCAUACCUCGGAGUUAUUGCAGGUUCAGUUCCAGACCACCACAAUAAAGAAAUAAAGAGCAGCAUACUACAAACCCUGAAGUUGCCUGAGAGCUCUCCAGUUCCACAAAUCAGAAAGAGUAGAGUCCUGUUCAAGACCAGGCCUGCCAGGCAGGAAGAGGGGGAACAGAGCUGCUCUGGCUGAAGAAUAGCAGCAACUUCUCUUCCCAGCCCUGCCUGUGCAUGGCAGCCACACAUGGCCACUCGGAUGCAUGUGCUAUAUAUAUUUAUUUAUUGGUUGAUUGAUUGCCCGGCUGCAUCUGCUGGAGGAGGUGGAGAGAGGUCACCGUGAUCCCAAGUGUAUCACCAAUAACCAGUAGUGUAUCAGCCAGGCGAGAGCCGUGAACGGAAGAAGGCAGAUCUCCUGGGACGGGGAAGAGCCCUGCACCUCAGUGUUUCCAGCAUUGUGUUCCAGUGAAGCAUGACAUCAUGGAACAUUUGGAACAUUCCCUCCCCCCAAUCAGAACAGGCUGUGCUGAGGGGAUCUAGGAGAAAUGUGUUACUCUCCUUUUGUCAAUUAAAGACUCAUAUGUUU